GCGGGGUGGAGCAGUUGGCAGCUCGUCGGGCUCAUAACCCGAAGGUCGCAGGUUCAAGUCCUGCCCCCGC
rnacentral:tRNA from 1 species